ensembl:lncRNA
AGAGAGAGAGAGAGAGAGAGAGAGAGAGAGAGAGAGAGAGAGAGAGAGAGAGAGAGAGAGAGAGCGCGAGAGAGAGAGAGAGACUUGGGUAGACAGCCCGAGAGAGAGUGAGAGACUUGGGUAGACAGCCCGAGAGAAAGAGGGAGGGAGAGACUUGGACGGAGAGGUGAGCAUGGCAAUCCAGCUGGCUCGUGUCAGAUGCGUGACUCAUGCCCAUAGACCGCCUGCACCAAGAACCUGAGUGGUCGGGUCUAUAGCUGUUACAUUAUUUAGCAUCUUUACACUUUAGUUUUUAAGGUGAAUGUUGUUCUUAUACCACAAGAAAUGUAGAUGUUAAUCAUAACACUAUAGAAAAUUAUUCAUUUUCAAAAUUGUACCAAUGUCGCUCACACACCCUCCCUCAAUGCUAGCUCCUUCUUGAACAGCGUAGUCAUGCGUUGCCAUGACGUCACGCUGAUCAGCAGGGGCUACUGAGAGGUGGGAGGAGAGGGGGGGGCGGUUGCAGUUACAAUGACAAUACAGCAAUAUAAAACCAUUUUAGACCUAUAUGUUGCACAUGUAAUGUCAACAUUUCCCUGUGAGACUACACACACACCAACUGGGCUUUGGUUUUUAUUACUGAUCAGUAAACGUUUUGCUUGGAUGUCAUCCACAUUGCUACUGAUGGGGAUUCCCUCGCUGUGGUGAAUGUAAUAAAUGGAUAUUGCUAUGACAAAACCCCAAGCUAUACCCAAGCUAAAAAUAUGGUAUAAAGAUAUAAUUUGUCCAGCUCUAGUUGGUCAAAUUCUAGAGUUCUAGAAAUGUUCUGCUGUGUUUAUUCAACUGUAUCUCUGUCUAGCCAUUCCUUCUCACCUGCACAUUAGAAAUGUCAAGCCUGCUACACACACACAGACACGCACACAAGCACACGCAUGCACUGAGAAGCAUGUGCACGUGUAUUAAUAUACACAUGCAAGUAAACGACUGCUAUGCCAUUAGUAGCUGCGUGUAUCUACGAAUGUGAAUUUCGUGUCAUGUGACAAUUUCAAAGUGUGCAAUUUCUGCGCAUGUUAGAGCAAGAGGGAGAGAGAGAGAUUACCAGUCAACCGUUCUCCUGGGCCAUAGUGUCAGGAGAUUAAGGCUGCACGUCAUGUGACUCCACUCAACUCCAGGCAUUGGCUGAGGCCAGCUGUGACCUCAGCAAACCCUACCCACAUUCCCGCUCCCCUCCACACACGCGUAUAUACACAUACACCUCCCCCUCCCCUCUCCCUCUCUGCCCCUCCCCUUUUUCAUCCCCUCACAAACGCGCAGACACACACACACACACACACAUUUCUCAGCAUCCUGGGGCUGGAGGUUGGACGAGCAGUAGCAGCAUCCAUGGCUUAAGCUCUGAUCAGCAGCUAGCCCAGCCUGCACCCACCCCCACC